rnacentral:rRNA from 1 species
UAGGGAAUAUUGGACAAUGGGUGCAAGCCUGAUCCAGCCAUGCCGCGUGCAGGAAGAAGGCUUUCUGAGUUGUAAACUGCUUUUGCCAGGGGAUAAAAAGGUCGUGCGCGACAAAUUGAAGGUACCUGGUGAAUAAGCCACGGCUAACUACGUGCCAGCAGCCGCGGUAAUACGUAGGUGGCAAGCGUUGUCCGGAUUUAUUGGGUUUAAAGGGUGCGUAGGCGGUUCUUUAAGUCAGCGGUGAAAUACGUCAGCUUAACUGGCGAGGUGCCAUUGAUACUGGAGGACUUGAGUACUGAUGAGGUAGGCGGAAUGGACGGUGUAGCGGUGAAAUGCUUAGAUAUCGUCCAGAACACCGAUAGCGAAGGCAGCUUACUAAGGAGUAACUGACGCUGAGGCACGAAAGUGUGGGGAUCAAACAGGAUUAGAUACCCCCGUAGUCC